ACUGAAGAGCAACUUCAGCUAUUGAGGUAUCUAUCAGAAGUCUUACUCUCUAAAAAGCCUCUGUUACACCUCAAUGCAACCUCCUGGCAGGCCAGCCUUAAGCCCAGCAGUCCCACCAUGCAUCUAAGCUGCGUUCUCAUCAGACCCAACUUCAAUUAUAAACAACUGAGAUGAUGCCAGAGGCCAGAAUCCCUGAGAACCCAAUUUGCUGUCAUCACCAUGGCUGAAACAAGGCACUUGGCAUCUAGAAAAGCUGAUCUGUAGGAAAUUUCCAAUAGAGUUCAAUUUUUCUAAGUUUAAAGUGU
rnacentral:lncRNA from 1 species